UCGAGUGCUUCUUGCCUUACACUGCCGGGCCCCUUUCAUCCCUCCUCCUCCGUCUCCGAAUCCGCGUCUAGCCCUAAUCUUGGAUGAGAAGCCUUCCGCCGAUCUGAAGCACUUUCAUCUUGAUUUCUUGAUUGGGUUUCACUGAGAUAUGGGUCCUGCAAGUACCCUAUCUUGCCUUGUGAGGUUCCUUAUGAGGAUUUUUCGUUCUGGAAGAGUGAGGAGGACAUGAUACAUGCGCAAUUACAUGGGACAAAAUGUGCGUUCUGCUUGUUACCGCUCUUACCUUAUUGUUUUGGAAUUGAUUGUGUUUGGACAUUUUCAUACAGAUGAGGACCCUAGCCCUGUGGACAAGCAAACUGAACUGGAUCAUAUUAGUUAAACCUGGUUUGUGGCGUUCAACGUCACCUGUGAAUUAUCACUUCAUCACCAUGAAUUUGUAUCGGGGCUUUGUUUCGGUCCAAUUAUUGACGUCCAUGUGAUAGCCCUUUCCCAGUGGAUAAGCAUUAAAACUUGGCUUACAUUGGUUGAAGCUGUGCCUCUGGCGAGUUCUGAGCAUGUAUUUUCAUCUACUGAAAGACAAAGCUCCUGGAUAUCUGAAGAAGAAUCUGGCAUGGCAAAUGUUGCCUCAGCAUCACCUGCAGAGUCACAAGCUGUUUGUUCUGUCAAAUUCUCCGGUUGAUUCUUAUGUUGCUUAAAAUAGGGUGACAUGGCCUAUCAUUUGUGCUACACGAAAUCAGUCAGUGUACCCUUUGAAUUAGCUAAAGACGAGAUCUGGCUCAUCUGCAAAUGGACGAUAGAAAGAUCUUCGUUGCGUCAGUUACGAUUAGUAAGAAUGAUGGUGUUGUGAAAAAUAUGGAUGAAUCCUCAGAAAAUAUUUGAGUAAUGGAUUGACAUUAGCAUGUGGUGGUACCUCAGAUAGUUUAUGAUGUAGUUGUUCUUGGAUUCUUGUGCGCACAUCUCACUUCUGGUACAUACUCUUUUCAGAUGGUUUAGGAUGCACUUGUUCUGUGAUCAAGAUGAUCGGUUGGCUUUGAUUGCCUGGUUGGCAGCGGCAUCCUGUGCUGCCGCUUGUCUGGAUGUAGAAGACCCUUGGGAUGGCCAACGAUGAUGAUUGGCAAGUGAGGCAUGUUCAUUACUAGUUCCUACCACUCUCACCUCUCUUUUCUUUGCUGUUCAUUACGCUUGCUAGUCGCCAUGCCAUUUUAUUCAAGUCAAUGUUCAAAGGCAUAUCUUUAGCUUACUAUUCUCAGAUGAACCUUCUAAUAAAUGGUGCAGAUUCAUGUUGAACAGGUCAGUUUCGGAAGACAUCCAGUCAGCUAAUGGUAUUUCUUUCAUUUUCUGCAUUAAAAGUUAUGCAUCUCGAAGCAGGUAGAUGUCAGAGUCGAGCUUCCUGAGGAGGGAGGUGGGGGCAGUAUGGAGUCAUGGGUGAGUCGAGACUGUGCACUGCUGCCUCCACCAGUGCUAAGUUCUCGUAAUAAAUAUGCAGAGAAUGGAAUAGCUUUGUAAAAUCUUGAGAUAUCUCGUCUUUACAAACAAUGGAAGCGCUCUCGAUACAUGCAUCCUAUAUUGUGGAAAGCCACAAAGUAUCGUGACACUCAAAAAGAAAGGAAACCUUCUCGGAUCUUCUUCAAAUUGGUUCUCUCAAUUAUCUGUCUUUGUAAAUUGAUUUCAUGGAACUUAGGGGGGCUCUCAUGUUCUUAAGAGGUUAUCUACAUCAUUUUGACAA